CGCAAUCGCCCUUCGGGGCGCACCAGGCGCGAAAACUUUACACUGCGGGAAACCGCGAUAAGGGGACCCCGAGUGCCAGCACCUAGUGCUGGCUGUCCAGCUGUCCAAAUAACAGUUGUUAGCAAGGGCCGGGCAAGACCGGUGCCAGCCGCCGCGGUAACACCGGCGGCCCGAGUGGUAGCCGUUAUUAUUGGGUUUAAAGGGUCCGUAGCCGGCCUAUUAAGUCUCUUGGGAAAUCUGGCGACUCAAUCGUCAGUCGUCCAAGAGAUACUGGUAGGCUUGGGACCGGGAGAGGUGGGAGGUACUCCAGGGGUAGGGGUGAAAUCUCGUAAUCCUUGGGGGACCACCGAUAGCAAAGGCAUCCCACCAUAACGGGUCCUACGGUGAGGGACGAAAGAUGGGGGCUCGAACCGGAUUAGAUACCCGGGUAGUCGCAACCGUAAACGAUGCUCCCUAGGUGUCAGGUGUGGUGCAACCGCAUCUAGUGCCGCAAUGAAAACUUGACGCUAGUCGUCUGGUAAUUACGGUCUCACGGAUGAUACUUAUAUGACUUGUGGGGCGACCAC
rnacentral:rRNA from 1 species